UAAACUAAGAAGAUUGCUAAUAAUCUCGCAUUAGCUGAUCAUCCGGUUAUAAUUAAAGAUCUUGUAUCUCAGGUUCUUGCAAGCCUUGAUUCUACUUAAUGUAAUCCUCUUGUAUGUCAAAUCACAUAAAAAAACAUUAGUUGGCUGGAACUCCAGUUUAAGUUGUUGAGCUACGAGAAAAUGCUAGAGCAAUUAAAUGCAGGAAUAACUAGCAUUAAUCCUUACCAUCCAUUAGUUAACUAUGCUAACAUAAAGGGAAAUCUAAAUGCAGUCAUGUUCCUGAAAUUGAGAAAAUUCUAAUAUGUAUUUCUUAGCUGAUUGAAACCAAUGAUAUUGAUGUUCUAUCUGAUUCUUUUGGCUAUAUUGUGAAGGACAAAACU
rnacentral:lncRNA from 1 species